AAAACUAUAUUUUACAGGUACGGAUGAAAGAGCUAUCAUCGACGUGUUAGUAACUCAUUCUAAUUUACAGAGGCAGGAAAUUAAGAGGAAAUAUAAAAGUUUAUAUGGAAGAGAUCUUGUGGAAGAUAUCAAGUCUGAACUUGGAGGAAAUUUUGAAGAUGUCUGUGUGGCCUUACUUACACCGCAGAUAGUAUUCCUUGCUGACUGUUUAUAUGGUGCUGUGAAGGGCAUUGGAACUGACGAAAAGUGUAUUAUUGAAAUCUUAUGCACACAUCAUAGCAGAGUGAGUAAUAUUUAUUUUCAUGUAUUUUCAGUAUUGCACUUUAAAAGCUUUAACACAAU